GUCUACGGCCAUGCCACUCUGAACAUGCCUGAUCCCGUCUGAUCUUGGAAGCUAAGCAGGGUCGGGCCUGGUUAGUACUUGUAUGGGAGACCACCUGGAAAGACCGGGUGCUGUAGGCU
rfam:Pteropus alecto contig11162, whole genome shotgun sequence.